rnacentral:rRNA from 1 species
GACGAACGCUGGCGGAGUGCUUAACACAUGCAAGUCGAACGGAAAGGCCCUGCUUUUGUGGGGUGCUCGAGUGGCGAACGGGUGAGUAACACGUGAGUAACCUGCCCUUGACUUUGGGAUAACUUCAGGAAACUGGGGCUAAUACCGGAUAGGAGCUCCUGCUGCAUGGUGGGGGUUGGAAAGUUUCGGCGGUUGGGGAUGGACUCGCGGCUUAUCAGCUUGUUGGUGGGGUAGUGGCUUACCAAGGCUUUGACGGGUAGCCGGCCUGAGAGGGUGACCGGCCACAUUGGGAAUGAGAUACGGCCCAGACUCCUACGGGAGGCAGCAGUGGGGAAUAUUGCACAAUGGGCGGAAGCCUGAUGCAGCAACGCCGCGUGCGGGAUGACGGCCUUCGGGUUGUAAACCGCUUUCGCCUGUGACGAAGCGUGAGUGACGGUAAUGGGUAAAGAAGCACCGGCUAACUACGUG